rnacentral:lncRNA from 1 species
CUCCUUGUGCCAAAAGAAAGUCAUGCGUAAACCAAACUCCACCGUCCCUUUUAUUAUGAUUUCAUGUUGGUUUUUCAUGCUAAAAAGAAGGCACACAUGCCCCCUUUCUUAUUUGGUCGAGUGAAGCACAUGAGAGCUGUCCAGUAGUUGGACGCUCUCUCUCCCAAGCCUUAUCAGAUAAGGCUUCACCUUAUCCCAAUUAUUACAUGCCUAUUUAAGGGGUUAAGUGGGUGUGGGAAGAAGGUUAACAUGAAGAAAAGAAAAGAAAAUAAAGAAGAGGGCGUGGGGGUUUUUGGUGCAUGAGAUUUAGAGGAGAGGCAUCUCCUCUUAAGGGCUUCUCCCUAGGCAUGAAGAUUCCUAUGGGUUCCUUAUGAGGCAUUGAGAUUUUUAGGAAGAGAGACAAAGAAAAGAGAAAGGGUUCUCAAGAUUUUAAUCUUUCUCUUUAUGUUCCUCCUAUAUUCCUUCUCUUCUUUAGAAAGUCUGAGAGAUCCAAGGAAGGAUUCAAAUCAACCAUCAAGGAGGUGUCUUCUGCAAAGGAGCUAGCAUCCUAGUGAAGACGCAAGCCUCUGAUCAGAUCGAGGGCUUCAUGUGGAUAUCUGAAAAGAUCGGACACGUGUGACUCGUUGAAGACCUCAUCAAAUUAUCAUGAUCAUCAACCAUGGAGAUCGUCGACCCGCCAGAAGGUAUACAGAUUGGAUCUCUGAC